UUGAAGGCUGAAAUUCGCCUUCAUGAAGCUGGAAUUGCUAGUAAUGGCAGGUUAGCAUACUGCCGUGAAUACGUUCCCGGGCCUUGUACACACCGCCCGUCACACCAUGAGAGUUGGGAAUACCCGAAGCCUGUGAGCUAACUUAUAGAGGCAGCAGUCGAAGGUAGAAUCAAUGAUUGGGGUGAAGUCGUAACAAGGUAAC
rnacentral:rRNA from 1 species